AUCUUGAUAAAGGUCUGAACACUCAUCUUUUUUCUUCUAGCUUUCUUUGUGCUAACUAUUAAUGGACCAGAACUUGCUUCACUUCAAGAAAGAAAUGCAAGACACUGAUUAUAUAGAAUCGGAUGAAGAGGUUUCCACAAACAAAGAGAGACAUUCUCGCCUUGGGGAGGA